UCUCUCUGGUUGAGAGUUGAGAUAAUGUUUUAUAUUAACUAAAUUUUAUUGGUGACACCUAUUAUUAAUUGAUCACAAGGAAAUUAUUGACCCUACGCUGGUAUUUAGCUGAUUAGUUUUUCAAUGAAUUGUCCAUUUCUGUUCAUUAGCUUUCACUAUGAAGUUAAAGCACAUGCUUGGUGUUUCUGAAUGUCACACUAAUAUGUUGAUAAUUGAUGCAGAUUGACUUGUCUUCCCACAUUGUUAGGGUUUAAUUGACUUUGAAGUCGUGUUGGUUAUUUUAUUCCUCUGCCAAGAUUUGAUAGAACGUUGAUAUCGGAGGACAACCUUAGCUUUGUCUCAGGAUGUGUUGGACGAGGCUACCAAAAGCAAGUCUGCAGGAAAGGCAUAGUACCAGACUAUGAUCUCCGACACCGAGU